rnacentral:lncRNA from 1 species
GGCGAAGAAUGUUUCUAUUGUGUUUAAAUUAAGCUGGAGAAUUCUCGUUUUGGGUCUUUUAACUUUCCGAAGAAUUCGCAAGAGCAAGAAGGAUACGAAAAUGGCAAACGCGUUCUUCCUCGCUGGACGCCGCUCCGCGGGGCAUGGCGAUGGGCAUAUUUGAAAAUAGAAUCAGGGAGCCGCGAAACUCGUCAAGGUCGGCAGGCCGAGAGAACGAGGCGGAGAAGAGUUCUCUCGGCGGAUUUUCGUGGCCAGGGCUACGGAGCAUCCGGUUGCCCAAUGUUUUUGUCGCGUGAACGUGCGCGAGAAAGCGCCGCACGGCGAAGACUUUCGCUUUCGAAAGCUGCGCGCCACUUAUCGGGCGAACUUUCUUCUCUUCUUCUUCUUCGACGAAGAGGCGCCUCGGUCCUGUCGUGCUCGAUUUCCGAACUGUGGCCCCCGGCGGAAAUCUCACUACCAAUGACGCAAAGAAAGGUAGGUAAGAGAACCUUUUCUUUUAUUUAAGUAUAUUUUGGAGUAUUUUUAUGUUUAUGUGGACGUUUAAUGCUCUCUUCUUUCUCUCUCACUUCUCUCUCUCUCUCUCUCUCUCUCUCUCUCUCUCUGUGGCUAAGAUCGUAUCAGUCUACUUGAAUAAAUUCCUUGAAGAUCUAUUCUCGAUUCUCUCACGGAAUGUUGCAUUACAUCUGCAAACCAAGCAAGCGCGCGAUUCUUCCGGGUGGCGAGGAGAGAAAGCCUUUUGCGGGAAAUUGCAAUUACAUUUCUCCGCGCACAUUGCUAACGGAAUGCCUUUUUUCGAUAUUAUCACUUCAGACUUUAUUUACAUCGAAUAAUACUCGUGUACGUCUUAUUUUUAUUUAGUUAAGUCAUUGCAAAUAUUUAUUUAUUUUUUUGUUUCAGAAAAGGAGAUAUUCAAUACAAAGAAGGUAUACAACUUUCAAUUCGUAAAUGAUUGAAUUUUAAUUAUUACAUUCUUUACAGUAAAAUAAAAUAGUACUUGUACACAAUACAGUCGACUAAAUAAAUGCAUCGUGAAUUCCAAGCUGAGAAUGAGAAAUUUGCGCAAGGUCUAUGACAAUUACACACAUGUCACGUUAACUUUCGCUUUCGAAAAUGUACGUCUCAUUGCUAAUCGCUGCUGAACGAUCCUCCUUCUAGAAACAUUACAGGCAUUUAGAUGCGAUGCUAUAAAUGCUGAAUAUGAGUGUCAUGCAAACAUCUCUCGAGGGGAAAAUCCACCGGAAACAUCAGAUAUACACAAUGACUGCACAUAACUGAAGACGAAGAAAAUAACGCUCAUGUGGUGCGUAGUUCCUUCCAUUUUAUUUUUAAACGAUCAGAGUAAAUGCCCUGAACAGUCACCAGUAAAUUACCAUUAUUACUUCUAUUAUCGUUUAACAUUACAGGCAUAUCUUUCUUAAAAAUCGACGCAAUAACAGCAAAUUUUAAUUGUUGCGCAUUCCAAAAAUAAUAAGACUUAAUUUAUUGAUAUGUUUGUGUUAUUUGUAAGUUAUUUAAUAAAAAAAAUUAAAAUAAUUAUUUUAAUUAACAUUUAUUAAUUAUUAUUCUCCAAUAUUCUUUUAUAUAUAUAUAUAUAUAAAUUCAAUAUAAUGUAUUUUGUGCACGCCCUAAUUUUACAAUGUGUGAUGUAAAUAUAUUUUUUUAAUUUUUAAUAAUUGACACGAAUCUUUAACUUUUAUUAAAAAACCGAAUAUAUUGAUAAUGUUUUAUUGUAAAUCGUUAUUUUUGUAUGUGACUAAUUGAAUGUGUAAAUAAAUGAUAUAAGAAAAGUUUUCAAUUAUCAAAAAAUAUCAAGAGGAAAUCCAAAUACUGGUGAAAAUAUCUCUUGGAGACAAAACGAUAUGUUAUAAUGAUAAAACGCAAUCGCUCAAACAAAAUGGGCUCCUGAUAUGUCGUAUUUGUGCUGCGCACUGUGGUAGAAACGACGCUGAAAAGGGAAAGCGAUUUUCCGGUGAAGCGAGAUAUCCGUAUUUCAUUUUUUUUUAUCUGAAAGAGCAGAGCCGCCUUGUUUGUUGAUACCAAUGUUAUUGCUAAGUUAAUGUCGUUGGAUGCGUCGCGUAUCGCGAGCUCUCUUCGAUGGAAAAACACUCGGGGCGAUCGAAAGUGCAUUAGCCACGCUUCCUUUUCACGCAAUCGGAGCGGAGCAAUUAGAGCUGUGAUUAAAAGGCUCGUCGCGUGCGGUCUGGCAUAAUGCAGGUACCAGACAUUUUCAUUUAUCCCGCGCUUCUCACUGUCUCUACUACAUUGUUGCAUGGUGAAUAGUAAUCGUCUAAACUGCUUUUCAGGCGGGAAUUAACGCGUUCGUAAAAGAAGCUCUAACACACUGGUCUUGUAAAACGUUUACCAAAAGAUCGCAAUCAAUUUUCUCCUAAGGAGAAACAGACGUAUAAAGCAUCCGAAAAUUUCUGAUUUUAAAUAAAAAUUUAAUUCAAAUAAAUAUAAUAAAUUAAACAAAUCGCAGACGCGGAUAUAAAUCAUAAUACAAGCGUAUCUGUUGGACAAUAUUUGUCUCGAGAUGCAGAUGCAUAUCGCCCCGGUCUCGCGCAGUCUACCUAUCAUGCGGUGCAUCCGCAAAAACAGCUCGAAGAAUCUUUUACUAUCGCUUUUAAGAUUUUUUGACGUAUCGUUUAUUCAUGGCGCGCAUUCACUGAGACAUCAAAACGUUCAUAAAAAAUCCAAACUAUCAUAACAGCAGAAUUGCAGUUUUAACUGCAAAACAACUAUAAUAUAUGCGCGUUUCAUUUGACGCCCGCUCUGCCGGGAUGUUACUUGUCCCGACCACUGUGAUGUGGAAAUGCAUCUGCGCAGCGAUUUUACGCGACUAUCUUUAUGUAUUUUUCGCCUUUUACUUACAGUCAGUGAACUAAUCAAAAGAUCGUAAUUUGAGUCGUAAUAUAUUUUUUUAAUAUAUUGAAAGAAUUCUGUUUUAUGUACAUUGUUGGAAAUAAUAAUUGCCUCAUGAUAAUGUUUCGUAAUUUUUACAAAAUAUUUGCAUCUAGAUAAUUGUGUAUAAAUGUCACUGGAAAAAAAAUAUAAUAUAAAUAAAAAAGUAUAAUAGAAAUAUCACUUAAAAAAUCUUAACUUUUGGUUUCGCAAAUUAAAACGCAAAUGAUGCUAAAUAGAAGAAACAUUGAAAAUUAAUCACUUGAAAAUUCCUAGCAAUAAUUACACAAGUUUAAUUAAUUAUUAAUAAUUAAAUUACAUACGUUCAAUCUUGAUUUUUCUUUGAAUUAAUUACACGUCCUUCUUCCUUUGCACGUAAUAAAUUGCAAAAAGAAAUGUAAGAAUAUUAAAAAUAUAUUUUAAUGUUAAAAUAUAUAUCGACAAAAUAUCUGUCUGGAAAUAAUGUGCUUCGUGUAUAUCGAUCGUCAAUUUAAGGAAAUUAAAACAGCCUUCAUUUAAUCCCGCACGAAGCAAUGGACACGCGGUACGAGGUCACUAUAAACACAUUAUGCUAAUGUUAAUCCCAAGUCUCAUCUGUGACGAAAUGUCAUGUGUAAUAAUCAUGUGACUGGCAGCAGCAAAUAUAUGCUGUUUAAUACAUGGAUUUAAAAGUAUAAUUCGGCCUAUAACUGCGUGCGCUUAUACAACAUUUGUUUUAUAAUGUCUCGCAUUUAAAUGGUCUCAAAUAGACAUAUUGGACUUAUUUAGUAUGCUAAUAAAAAAUGACAAUUCGUUGCCCAUUAUCAUAGUCAUAGAGAAUCAAUGGACAAUACUAUUGCAAAUAAUUAAACCGGAGUUAAUGUAAUCCUAGUUCUUUUGUUAAUUUUUUGCAUUGAUAUAUAUGCCGCUUUGCAUAAUAAGAAAUUUUGUUAUUAUGACGGUAUGUUAUACCUUAUACAAACAUACAUGUAAACUGGACGCGAUAAAAUCUCCCCCUAAUUGCACAAUUUAUGCUUCUUUUUACUAUUCUUACACCAUUAAAUAGAAUUAGGUACGCGAGAAUUUAUAAUCAUCUUAUCAUCGUUUUAUUACUUCGUAAGUAUCUACAAGAAUUGUCUUUAAGUGACGAUUUUCCUCUUUAUCGUCAUGUUUUUCAAUCUUUGCAUCGGAUUCUUCUGUGUACUCACGUGGUGGUUCUUACGGUUAUAUCGCGAAUUGUUUAUGUCAGAAUCAAUAUAACACGUACCAUGGUAAAGUCAAUCUUUGUAAUUUUGCAGAAAUAUUGACUUGGCACGUUGUAAAGACGUCCCUCGAGGAGAUUCGUUUCUUUGUUAAAAGAGAUUCUUUCAACAUGUUAUACGCAUUUGCUAUUUAUUUCUCAUAUUACUUAUUACAAGCAGCUCUUUAUGUUUCGGCGGUUACAUAAAAUUAAGUCAUUCAUCUAUAAUCCGCGACUCCCGGAGCGAUUAUGAAACCGUGACGUGAAAGUUUAUCGUGAUAAUAUAGCACGGAUAAUGGAUUACCUGAGCGCGUCCGCAAACGAUCGUGCAUUAUCAAUUAGCGGAAAAUUGUGCUGUGACGCGACACGGUAUCAAAUAUCUGCAAACGCGAUAAAAAUAAAAAAGCGAGUGCUCGCAUUACUCGAAACGAACAAAAAUCUGAACGCAAUGAAUCUUGCCCGUUCGACUUGACUUAAGUUUCCCCUCCCUCCUCCAUUCUUUUAAUUGCAUACGCGUGAAUUCACGCGGAUCAAAUGUAAUGCGAACGGCUUGCGUUUCGCUCUAGGUGAUAAUUUAUUAUGCUAAAAAGAAGUUACUUGAAAGUACAUACAA